GCUUCAUUAAAUUUCUCAAACUUUUGGUCAAAGGAUUGAUCCUUGUUAGUUCGUUUGUUUCCGCUGAGAUCUCUGCCACCACUUCCAGUAUAGAGGAACCAUUCCCCAUGAUCUUCAUCAUCUACGUAGCCUCCAGAAAGUGCCACAGACUGUGCACCAUAGUUUGCUUGCCCAGCAAUACCAGCGACAUGGGGAAGGUGUACACCCCACUGCCUACAUUCCAAUCUAUCUUCCCAACACUCCCCAACCAAGACACCUUGAUUUCUCUCAGGGUCAUUUUCAGCUGGGAUAGGCCCAAAAUGAUCUGGUGGCACAGUGACAAAUAUCUUCCCACUGCAGGCAUUGGCCUUACCAGC
rnacentral:misc_RNA from 1 species